UAUUCUGCCCCACGGGGAAGGAUAAGAAGCUUCGACUAAGGUUCGACUCGAGCGAAGCGAGAGAACGUUGCCGCAGGCAAUGGCCCGAAGGCGAGGCGCUUUAGCGCCGAGUAAUCCUUCCCCCACCACUG
rnacentral:sRNA from 3 species